rnacentral:rRNA from 1 species
CUGCAAGUCGUACGAGAAAUCCUGGCCAACUGGGAAAGUAGAGUGGCGCACGGGUGAGUAACGCGUGGGUAACCUACCCUUGAACUUGGGAUAACUCCGCGAAAGCGGGGCUAAUACCGAAUAACAUUCCGACUUCCAAGGGAGUUGGAAUCAAAGGUGGCCUCUGCAUGCAAGCUAUCGUUUAAGGAUGGGCCCGCGUACCAUUAGCUUGUUGGUAGGGUAAUGGCCUACCAAGGCAACGAUGGUUAGCUGGUCUGAGAGGAUGGCCAGCCACACUGGAACUGAGACACGGUCCAGACUCCUACGGGAGGCAGCAGUGGGGAAUCUUGCGCAAUGGGGGAAACCCUGACGCAGCAACGCCGCGUGGGUGAUGAAGGCCUUCGGGUCGUAAAGCCCUGUCAGGUGGGAAGAAUUGUGUCGGUGUUAAUACCACCGAUGCU